rnacentral:rRNA from 1 species
AGCUCCAAUAGCGUAUAUUAAAGUUGUUGCAGUUAAAAAGCUCGUAGUUGAAUUUCUGGCGGGAGCAACCGGUCCUUCACUUGGUGUUGGUACUUGUGUUGUCUCUGGCCAUCCUUGGGGAGAGCCUGUGUGGCAUUAAGUUGUCGGGCAGGGGAUCCCCAUCAUUUACUGUGAAGAAAUUAGAGUGUUCAAAGCAGGCUUAUGCCGCUGAAUACAUUAGCAUGGAAUAAUAAGAUAGGACCUUGGUACUAUUUUGUUGGUUUGCGCAUCAAGGUAAUGAUUAAUAGGGACAGUUGGGGGUAUUCGUAUUCAAUUGUCAGAGGUGAAAUUCUUGGAUUUCUGGAAGACGAACUACUGCGAAAGCAUUUACCAAGGAUGUUUUCAUUA